GCCCCAGUGGCACAGUAGGUUAGCGCGUUGUACUUAUAUGGCAGUAUUGAAGGCGCCAUAGACAUGCAAAGGUCGAGAGUUCGAUCCUCUCCUGGGGCA
rnacentral:tRNA from 1 species